AUUGAACGCUGGCGGCAUGCUUUACACAUGCAAGUCGAACGGUAACAGGCCGCAAGGUGCUGACGAGUGGCGAACGGGUGAGUAAUGCAUCGGAACGUGCCCAGUCGUGGGGGAUAACUACUCGAAAGAGUAGCUAAUACCGCAUACGAUCUAUGGAUGAAAGCGGGGGACCGUAAGGCCUCGCGCGAUUGGAGCGGCCGAUGUCAGAUUAGGUAGUUGGUGGGGUAAAGGCUCACCAAGCCAACGAUCUGUAGCUGGUCUGAGAGGACAACCAGCCACACUGGGACCGAGACACGGCCCAGACUCCUACGGGAGGCAGCAGUGGGGAAUUUUGGACAAUGGGCGCAAGCCUGAUCCAGCAAUGCCGCGUGCAGGAAGAAGGCCUUCGGGUUGUAAACUGCUUUUGUACGGAACGAAACGGCUCUGGUUAAUACCCGGGGCUAAUGACGGUACCGGAAGAAUAAGCACCGGCUAACUACGUG
rnacentral:rRNA from 1 species